UCAAAUCAAAUGCUUUGCAGUUGUGGAAGGAGAACUUGUGUCAUGUGCGUUCGACAACAAGAUCUGGAGAGUAUCUCUGCUUGGAGAUCAAUGUGGAGAUGCAAAUUCUAUAGAUGUUGGCACCCAACCUAAGGACUUAAGCCUUGCCCUUAAUUCUCCUGAAGUGACUUUAGUUUCGUUUGAAACUGGAGUCAUUCUUCUCCGUGGUACAAAAGUGCUGUCAACCAUAAACCUUGGAUUUACGGUGACGGCAUCUGUUAUUUCACCUGAUGGAACUGAAGCAAUAGUGGGUGGUCAGGAUGGUAAACUUCAUUUGUAUUCCAUCGCGGGUGAUAGUCUCAAUGAAGAGGUUGUCCUUGAAAAACACAGGGGAGCUAUUACCAUUAUUCGGUACUCUCCAGAUGUUUCCAUGUUUGCAUCAGCAGAUGUGAACCGAGAAGCUGUUGUCUGGGAUCGUGCAUCUCGUGAGGUUAAACUUAAUAAUAUGUUAUACCAUACUGCCCGAAUAAAUUGCCUGGAUUGGUCACCUGAUAACACAAUGGUAGCUACUGGAUCCCUAGACACAUGUGUUAUAAUAUAUGACGUCAGCAAGCCAGCAUCGCAUAGAAUCACUAUUAAAGGAGCUCAUUUGGGUGGAGUAUAUGGACUAGCUUUUACUGAUGAACGCAGUAUAGUGAGUUCUGGCGAGGAUGCUUGUGUUCGUGUAUGGGGAAUCACUCCACAGUAACUGAGAGGUUUUAAAUUGACAAGUAUCAAUGAUAAGCAAUUCGGUUGUUCAUAUUUGCACAUUAGGUUAUCAACUGGAACACAGUUCAAAUAUUGAAAUGUUCGUUUGGCCUCAAUUGCGGACAGCUCAUGAAUGGUGCCAAUAGUUGUAACCAUGGUAAUAAGAAACCACCAAGUUAAAGAGUUCUUCCGAAGGGAUCAUAACUUCCUGUAUCCAAAAGAGGUACUCUUAUUUUCUCAUAGAUUAAAAAAAAUAAAUCAAAAAGUUAUAGUUGGAUUGUUUUCGACCAUGGAAAGCAUCAACAUGCUGUGGAGUUGGUGUUUUGAGUCUUUUGUCCUGGUGCAUCACAAAACCCUUAGCAGCCAUUAUGGUUUUGCUUCUUACAUUUGUACGUAUGCGUUGAUUUUAUAUAAUUUGUCAUUCCAAUUAUAGGUUUUUGGUUAGAGUUCCAUGUUUUAGUGCUUACGAUGAUGCAAGUGUGAUCUUAUUGCUCAGGCUUUAUUUAUAGGGAUUUGCAGUUUUUUGGUCCUAUUUGUAAGUUGUGACGUCUUUUCAGUUAUGUUGCCCUUUGAUUGUGCUACUUUUUUCACGGGAAAUGGUCAUCUUUCUGCUAUAUUUG
rnacentral:misc_RNA from 1 species